UACGAAGGGGGCUAGCGUUGUUCGGAAUUACUGGGCGUAAAGCGCACGUAGGCGGAUUGCUAAGUCAGGGGUGAAAUCCCGGGGCUCAACCUCGGAACUGCCUUUGAUACUGGCAUUCUCGAGUCCGGAAGAGGUGAGUGGAAUUCCGAGUGUAGAGGUGAAAUUCGUAGAUAUUCGGAGGAACACCAGUGGCGAAGGCGGCUCACUGGUCCGGUACUGACGCUGAGGUGCGAAAGCGUGGGGAGCAAACAGG
rnacentral:rRNA from 1 species